UACGGGGGGGGCAAGCGUUGUUCGGAAUUACUGGGCGUAAAGGGUUCGUAGGUGGCCAACUAAGUCAGACGUGAAAUCCCUCAGCUUAACUGGGGAACUGCGUCUGAUACUGGAUGGCUUGAGUGCAGGAGAGGAAUGCGGAAUUCCAGGUGUAGCGGUGAAAUGCGUAGAUAUCUGGAGGAACACCGGUGGCGAAGGCGGCAUUCUGGACUGCAACUGACACUGAGGAACGAAAGCCAGGGGAGCAAACGGG
rnacentral:rRNA from 1 species